AGAGGAAGAUCAGCCACACUGGGACUGAGACACGGCCCAGAUUCCUACGGGAGGCAGCAGUGGGAAUAUUGCACAAUGGGGGAAACCCUGAUGCAGCCAUGCCGCGUGUUUGAAGAAGGCCUUCGGGUUGUAAAGCACUUUCAGUUGUGAGGAAAAGUUAGUAGUUAAUACCUGCUAGCCGUGACGUUAACAACAGAAGAAGCACCGGCUAACUCCGUGCCAGCAGCCGCGGUAAUACGGAGGGUGCGAGCGUUAAUCGGAAUUACUGGGCGUAAAGCGCACGCAGGCGGUUUGUUAAGCUAGAUGUGAAAGCCCCGGGCUCAACCUGGGAUGGUCAUUUAGAACUGGCAGACUAGAGUCUUGGAGAGGGGAGUGGAAUUCCAGGUGUAGCGGUGAAAUGCGUAGAUAUCUGGAGGAACAUCAGUGGCGAAGGCGACUCCCUGGCCAAAGACUGACGCUCAUGUGCGAAAGUGUGGGUAGCGAACAGGAUUAGAUACCCUGGUAGUCCACACCGUAAACGCUGUCUACUAGCUGUGUGUGCCUUUAAGGCGUGCGUAGCGAAGCUAACGCGCUAAGUAGACCGCCUGGGGAGUACGGCCGCAAGGUUAAAACUCAAAUGAAUUGACGGGGGCCCGCACAAGCGGUGGAGCAUGUGGUUUAAUUCGAUGCAACGCGAAGAACCUUACCUACACUUGACAUGCUGAGAAGUUACUAGAGAUAGUUUCGUGCCUUCGGGAACUCAGACACAGGUGCUGCAUGGCUGUCGUCAGCUCGUGUCGUGAGAUGUUGGGUUAAGUCCCGCAACGAGCGCAACCCUUGUCCUUAGUUGCCAGCCUUAAGUUGGGCACUCUAAGGAGACUGCCGGUGACAAACCGGAGGAAGGUGGGGACGACGUCAAGUCAUCAUGGCCCUUACGUGUAGGGCUACACACGUGCUACAAUGGCAUUUACAGAGGGAAGCGAGACAGUGAUGUGGAGCGGACCCCUUAAAGAAUGUCGUAGUCCGGAUUGGAGUCUGCAACUCGACUCCAUGAAGUCGGAAUCGCUA
rnacentral:rRNA from 1 species